rnacentral:misc_RNA from 1 species
GAUGAAGAACGUAGCGAAAUGCGAUAAGUAAUGUGAAUUGCAGAAUUCAGUGAAUCAUCGAAUCUUUGAACGCACCUUGCACCCUUUGGACUGCUCCAAAGGGUAUGCUCGUUUGAGUGUCAUUGUACUCUCACACUCUCUGAUCCUUUGGAUUUGGGGAGCAGUGGACUUGGGUGCUUGCUGCUUCCUUGUGGCUCACCUGAAAUGCAUCAGUGCAUCUCUCGAUUGGACAUAGUACGGCGUGAUAAGUGUCUUCGCCGGCACCUCAUAUGAGGGUGGCCGAUCGGGAGCUCUGAGCUUUCAAACCGUCUUCGGACAACGCUGACAACUUGACCUCAAAUCGAGUAGGACUACCCGCUGAACUUAAGCAUAUCAAUAAGCGGAGGA